rnacentral:rRNA from 1 species
AAUUUUGGACAAUGGGGGCAACCCUGAUCCAGCCAUCCCGCGUGUGCGAUGAAGGCCNNNGGGUUNUAAAGCACUUCUGGCAGNGAANAAAAGGCUCUGGCGAAUACCUGGAGCUGCUGACGGUACCUGCUGAAUAAGCACCGGCUAAUGACGUUCCAUCAGCCGCGGUAAUACGUAGGGUGCAAGCGUUAAUCGGAAUUACUGGGCGUAAAGCGUGCGCAGGCGGUUCGGCAAGCAGGAUGUGAAAUCCCAGGGCUUAACCUUGGAACUGCAUUCUUAACUGCCGGGCUAGAGUAUGUCAGAGGGGGGUAGAAUUCCGCGUGUAGCAGUGAAAUGCGUAGAGAUGCGGAGGAAUACCGAUGGCGAAGGCAGCCCCCUGGGAUAAUACUGACGCUCAUGCACGAAAGCGUGGGGAGCAAAC